rnacentral:rRNA from 1 species
GCUCAGGAUGAACGCUGGCGGCGUGCCUAAUACAUGCAAGUCGAACGAGGUGCCUUUGUAGCAAUACGAGGGUAUCCUAGUGGCGAACGGGUGAGUAACGCGUUGGUGACCUACCCCAAAGUGUGGGAUACCAGUCCGAAAGGACUGCUAAUACCGCAUGUGGUCAUCGGGUUCAGAAACCGAUGUCGAAAGCAGCAAUGCGCUUUGGGAGGGACCUGCGUCCCAUCAGCUAGUUGGUAGGGUAACGGCCUACCAAGGCUACGACGGGUAGGGGACCUGAGAGGGUGACCCCCCACAAUGGAACUGAAAUACGGUCCAUACACCUACGGGUGGCAGCAGUAGGGAAUAUUGCACAAUGGACGAAAGUCUGACGCAGCAACGCCGCGUGCACGAUGAAGGUCUUCGGAUCGUAAAGUGCUUUUCUGGGAGAUGAGAAAGGACAGUAUCCCAGGAAUAAGUCUCGGCUAACUACGUGCCAGCAGCCGCGGUAAAACGUAGGAGGCAAGCGUUAUCCGGAUUCACUGGGCGUAAAGCGUGUGCAGGCGGUUCGGUAAGUUGGGCGUGAAAUCUCCCGGCUUAACUGGGAGAGGUCGUUCAAUACUACCGGACUAGAGAGCAGUAGAGGAAGAUGGAAUUCCCGGUGUAGUGGUGAAAUGCGUAGAUAUCGGGAGGAACACCAGUGGCGAAGGCGAUCUUCUGGACUGUUUCUGACGCUCAUACACGAAAGCUAGGGUAGUAAACGGGAUUAGAGACCCCGGUAAUCCUAGCUGUAAACGAUGUGAACUUGGCGUCGGUAGCUUAAACACUAUCGGUGCCGAAGCAAACGCGAUAAGUUCACCGCCUGGGGACUACGAUCGCAAGAUUAAACUCAAAU